AACGAGAGUAACGUCUGGGCCAGCAAACGGAUUGCUGCUAGAGAAGAUCGAGGAACACGGAGAGACCAUUGCAGUGUCCGGGGAUGAAGGGUUGUGGCGGCAGAAGCGGCGGCGUCGCCGCUCUAGAUGGCGCGACGGCUGCGCCUGAGAUGGCACGGCGGCGGCAGUUGUGACGACGGCGGCACAAGAGAUGGCAUGACAGCAGCUAUGUCAAAAACAUAGAAGAAACUGAUAC
rnacentral:lncRNA from 1 species